AGAACGCACGCUGGCGGCAUGCCUAAUACAUGCAAGUCGAACGAACUCUUCGGAGUUAGUGGCGCACGGGUGCGUAACGCGUGGGAAUCUGCCCCUUGGUUCGGAAUAACAGUUGGAAACGACUGCUAAUACCGGAUGAUGACGAAAGUCCAAAGAUUUAUCGCCAAGGGAUGAGCCCGCGUAGGAUUAGCUAGUUGGUGAGGUAAAGGCUCACCAAGGCAACGAUCCUUAGCUGGUCUGAGAGGAUGAUCAGCCACACUGGGACUGAGACACGGCCCAGACUCCUACGGGAGGCAGCAGUAGGGAAUUUGGACAAUGGGGAAACCCUGAUCCAGCCAUCCCGCGUGUGCGAUGAAGGCCUUCGGGUUG
rnacentral:rRNA from 1 species